rnacentral:rRNA from 1 species
UACAGAGGGUGCAAGCGUUGUCCGGAAUCACUGGGCGUAAAGGGCGCGUAGGCGGCCUGAUAAGUCGGGGGUGAAAUUCUGCGGCUUAACCGCAGGACGGCCUUCGAGACUGUCGGGCUUGAGCACGGUAGAGGCUGGUGGAAUUCCCGGUGUAGCGGUGGAAUGCGUAGAGAUCGGGAAGAACACCAGUGGCGAAGGCGGCUAUCUGGACGGUUUCUGACACUAAGACACGAAAGCGUGGGGAGCAAACAGG